UACGUAGGGUGCAAGCGUUGUCCGGAAUUAUUGGGCGUAAAGAGCUCGUAGGUGGCCUGUCGCGUCGGCUGUGAAAACUCGGGGCUCAACUCCGAGCUUGCAGUCGAUACGGGCAGGCUAGAGUUCGGCAGGGGAGACUGGAAUUCCUGGUGUAGCGGUGAAAUGCGCAGAUAUCGGGAAGAACACCCGUGGCGAAGGCGGCUCUCUGGGACGGUACUGACGCUGAGACGCGAAAGCGUGGGGAGCAAACAGG
rnacentral:rRNA from 1 species